CGGAAUCUGCCUAUUUGUGGGGGAUAACGUAGGGAAACUUACGCUAAUACCGCAUACGACCUACGGGUGAAAGCGGAGGACCUUCGGGCUUUGCGCAGAUAGAUGAGCCGAUGUCGGAUUAGCUAGUUGGCGGGGUAAAGGCCCACCAAGGCGACGAUCCGUAGCUGGUCUGAGAGGAUGAUCAGCCACACUGGAACUGAGACACGGUCCAGACUCCUACGGGAGGCAGCAGUGGGGAAUAUUGGACAAUGGGCGCAAGCCUGAUCCAGCCAUGCCGCGUGGGUGAAGAAGGCCUUCGGGUUGUAAAGCCCUUUUGUUGGGAAAGAAAAGCAGUCGGUUAAUACCCGAUUGUUCUGACGGUACCCAAAGAAUAAGCACCGGCUAACUUCGUGCCAGCAGCCGCGGUAAUACGAAGGGUGCAAGCGUUACUCGGAAUUACUGGGCGUAAAGCGUGCGUAGGUGGUUUGUUAAGUCUGAUGUGAAAGCCCUGGGCUCAACCUGGGAAUUGCAUUGGAUACUGGCAGGCUAGAGUGCGGUAGAGGGUAGUGGAAUUCCCGGU
rnacentral:rRNA from 1 species